UACGAAGGGGGCUAGCGUUGCUCGGAAUCACUGGGCGUAAAGCGCACGUAGGCGGAUUGUUAAGUCAGGGGUGAAAUCCUGGAGCUCAACUCCAGAACUGCCUUUGAUACUGGUGAUCUCGAGUCCGGGAGAGGUGAGUGGAACUGCGAGUGUAGAGGUGAAAUUCGUAGAUAUUCGCAAGAACACCAGUGGCGAAGGCGGCUCACUGGCCCGGUACUGACGCUGAGGCACGAAAGCGUGGGGAGCAAACAGG
rnacentral:rRNA from 1 species